rnacentral:tmRNA from 1 species
GGGGGUGUAGCGGAUUCGACGGAAUGAGUAGAAUCGCAGGCUGCAUGCCGAGUUUGAGCGAUGACACUCGUAAAUAACAUCAUGCACUAAAUGUAGUUGACAACAACUAUUCUUAUAGCCUGGCUGCGUAACGCAGCCAAGCCGUUCCCUCGGGCGCUUGCCUGUUAGUCCCGUUGGAGCGUCGAUAUAACAGGAUAGUACGGCAUCUUGCCUUCUGUCAGGUGUCGUGCGAAAUCCAUACAGAAUAGUCUGCAGUUGUGUGUUACCGAGCGUCGCUGCAGGCGAACCUCAAUUCGGUAACUAAGCAUGUAGAUGCUUGAACGAUAUACCGUUUCGGACCGGGGUUCGAUUCCCCGCACCUCCACUU